CACUUCAUACCUGUAUAUUUACUCAUAUAGAUACUGAAUCUGAACUUAAAAAAAAAAAAAAAUCCUAACGUUCAUAUUCUUGUUUUUAUUUUUGGUUUUAGGUGAUUUUUUGUUUGUUUCUGUUUUGUUUGGGGUUUUGUUUGUUUUGUUUUUUGUGGGGUUUUUUGUUUUGUUUACUCUUAUUCUUGAAGCAAACGUCUUCCACCGUUAAUGAAUGGAAAAUAAGAAUCUCUAAUAGUUAGCUUCCUGCAUGACGAGGUCCAUGAGAACCAUUUCCUCCCAGUUCCACUGAGAGCACUACAUCUCUUCUCAGGACAAGAGAAAAAUAAGGUGGCAGGUGUAACUCAAACAGGAUAUGCAAGUUCUGUGUUGAGAAACAGCGCAUCAGAGCGAACCUCCGCACCAAAAAUACAAGGAGCUGUUCUAGGAACAUGUGAGAUGAUGAGAGUACAUGGAGGAAGUACCACCCAAAGCUGAUCUUGCACUCUUCCAUCAGCAUCAGAUACUGCAGCUGUUAGCAAGAGGUGGGCUUCAGUGAGGCAAUACUGCUGGUCUGGUGUCUGCUCAGAUGCAAGAUACUUGUGGUUCACACGAACAGUGGCUGUUGCAAUAUCAGCUUGUUUUAUUGAAAUACUGUUUGCAUUUGGCUCCUACACUUCAGGACUUCAUGGCUGUUCUAGAGAGGAGUAUGGUAAUGUGGGUAAAUCAAAUUUGAUUUCAAAGAGUCAACAUUUUCAUUUAUCUGCAAAAUUGGAAAAUACUUUUGCAAAACAGCAAUUUUACAGAGUACAUUUGUGAAAACCUUUUUCUGAACAAAAUUUAAUGCCAGUGUUUUAUUUUGCCAUGCAACAGUUGCAUUCUGCCAUCC
rnacentral:lncRNA from 1 species